rnacentral:rRNA from 1 species
UACAGAGGGGGCAAGCGUUGUUCGGAAUUACUGGGCGUAAAGGGCGCGUAGGUGGCCUUCUAAGUUGAACGUGAAAUCCCUGGGCUCAACCCAGGAACUGCGUCCAAGACUGGGAGGCUUGAAUCCGGGAGAGGGAUGCGGAAUUCCAGGUGUAGCGGUGAAAUGCGUAGAUAUCUGGAGGAACACCGGUGGCGAAGGCGGCAUCCUGGACCGGUAUUGACACUGAGACGCGAAAGCGUGGGGAGCAAACAGG